UACGGAGGGUGCAAGCAUUAAUCGGAAUUAUUGGGCGUAAAGGGCGCGUAGGCGGAUUUGUAAGUCAGAUGUGAAAUUCCGAAGCUCAACUUCGGAGCUGCAUUUGAAACUGUGAGUCUAGAGGAAUGGCGGAGAAAAUGGAAUUCCACGUGUAGCGGUGAAAUGCGUAGAUAUGUGGAAGAACACCGGUGGCGAAAGCGGUUUUCUAGCUUUUACCUGACGCUGAGGCGCGAGAGCAAGGGGAGCAAAC
rnacentral:rRNA from 1 species